rnacentral:rRNA from 1 species
GACGAACGCUGGCGGCGUGCUUAACACAUGCAAGUCGAACGGAAAGGCCCUGCUUUUGUGGGGUGCUCGAGUGGCGAACGGGUGAGUAACACGUGAGUAACCUGCCCUUGACUUUGGGGUAACUUCAGGAAACUGGGGCUAAUACCGGAUAGGAGCUCCUGCUGCAUGGUGGGGGUUGGAAAGUUUCGGCGGUUGGGGAUGGACUCGCGGCUUAUCAGCUUGUUGGUGGGGUAGUGGCUUACCAAGGCUUUGACGGGUAGCCGGCCUGAGAGGGUGACCGGGCACAUUGGGACUGAGAUACGGCCCAGACUCCUACGGGAGGCAGCAGUGGAGAAUAUUGCACAAUGGGCGGAAGCCUGAUGCAGCAACGCCGCGUGCGGGAUGACGGCCUUCGGGUUGUAAACCGCUUUCGCCUGUGACGAAGCGUGAGUGACGGUAAUGGGUAAAGAAGCACCGGCUAACUACGUG